rnacentral:lncRNA from 1 species
CGUCACAAUAUAAAUAAUUAACUAAAUCUUGGGUGGAUUAAUAUUUUUUACCCUUUAUUAUAGGUGGUUGAUGACCAAUUUAUUUUUAGAUAUAAACAAUGAUUUAUUUGUAUUAUAGUUGCAAAACAUUAGCAGGCAGCUUAUCAAAUAUGAAUAGUUCACAAAAUGUUCAAACAUUCACUAAAUUUACUUACCAUAUUUGAUGCUCCAAUAUUAUUGAUAUAUUAUUUCUCUAUAUAUAAAGCAAGGUCCCAAGGAUAUUUGCUCUUCCCCAUCCUACACCUAUAUAUAAUUUCAUUUUAUAUUCCUUUUCUCUUGUAUUUAUAUUUGAGAUGGAUUUUGUUUUGGUAUCUAUUUUUCUCAUAUUUAAAUCAAUAAUUUGGCAUCCAAAUCGGACAUAUACUACUGUUUAUGAAUUAUUGUACUAAAAAUAUCUAAAAGGCAAAACUCUUAUAUUUUGGCCGUCCCUAUCCUAUGCAUUAGAUAGACCCAAAAAUGCUAAAACUUAGGAAGAGUGUGAGGACUCAUGCAGGCAUAUGGAGAUGUAUGAAGAUCCGUAAUGUUUGUGAUUAGACAUAGACUAUGGAGCAUAUGAUGACUAAUGGUAAUUGUGAUGGGACGUUAGCUAGCAAAGACUCUAGGAUUCAAAUGGAAGAAAUGUGAGGACUCAUACUAGAAAAUAUUCAAGAGUAUGUAAGGAUUUGUAUAGCUUAUGCAUUAAGGAGAUAUUGAGUGCCUAUACAACACGAGAAAUCCAUAUAACACCAUAAGCUAACUUUUUAGAUGAGUUCUUGGAUUUUAAUAAUAUCCAUCUUUUGAGUUGAAAAAAUUGCAACUAAGACUUAAGAGGGAACUAAUUCUAGGAAUAUUCUCAUGUAGUGUAUUUGUUGCAUUUGAGAAUAGUUAUCGUUGGCCCAGCCCAUGUAAAUCCUCUAUGUGAUGAUAUUGCAUUCUUGUGGCUUGCUAAGUCUUCGUCAUUGUAUCAGAAGAUCAGUGUAAGAGACCGGUCCAUUGGUUGACAAACUCAAGAUUUUUUUUAUUUUGCAUGAAUUUUAAGGCAUUUGAAAAAAAUUCAUGCACUAUGCACAUGAGAGAGGGAAGGAAGACUCCCAUUGGGAGUCUUCUUCUUCUCUAAUUCCAACUAGGAAAAGGAGAAUCCAGGCCAUGCUAAAGCCCUAGGAUCUUUGAUCUAUAAAGGGUCUUCUCUUCCAUCUAACUCUCUCACCCCAAAUCCCAUCCACCAUCGGCAAGAAAUUUUCAAGUUGUUUGUGAAUUUCUCUAAAGGAAUCAUUAGGAUUUCUCCAACGAACUGGGCAUAAAACCUCACUAGCAGCGAAGGUAAGGUUUAUAGACUUUUUCCCCUUCCUUGUGCUAAGUUUAGACCACCGUCACCACUCGAAUUCACUUUGGCAAGCCAUCGACUUUCACACAAACAUGAUUUCCCCUGUUUCAUGCUUCCUCUCCCUUGUUUUUGCUUCACCGACGACUACCAGCCAUGGCCCUAGUCAAGGUCGUCAUGGUCACCACCACCAAACAUCAUCGUGGAUGACUAGUCGCCGGCCCUUUAUUGUUGUGAUAGAGAGGAAGGGAGUAAAAAAAGGAAAAGUGAGAAAAAAAAAAAGAAGAGAAUGAAGAGAGAUCAUUAUUCUCUCUCUCUGUUCUUUAUUCUCUCUCAUCUCUCUCUACCUUUCUCUCUCUCUCCUCUUCUUUCUUUCUAAUUGGAUGAAAAGAUCCAUAGAAGAGGAUUCAGGGCGGGAUUUGAUAUUAGACUCCUAGUGAACCCAAUAGAAGAUUUUAGAUAAACAAUUUUCACCUUAUGGUUUUCUUUAAUAUUGAGAUUGGAUUUGUAGAAGGAUGAUCCUCGAGAUAGGAGUGUCAAAUGGAUUCCUUACCACCUCAAUUCAUAAAUCAAUGUGUGAAUUGAUACUUAAUGUGUUAAGUUCGACAUCAAUAAAGGUAAAGAUUUUUGGAUAUAAUCAUCUAUAUGAUUAUAAAAAAUUUUAUUUAUAACUAUAUCUGCAUGAUGCAUGUUUUAUAUAUAUACCAGCUCAUGUAUCAUAUGUUGAUGAAUUGAUGUUGCAGGAUUCAUGAUUAAUAGGUGUUUAACUAUAGAUAUCAUAUUACAUAAUAAAAAUCAUGAAUUAACAUAAUUGAUGGGGUGCGGGCAGCUUCUAGAUUAGCCAAUCAUGCAAAGAAUAUGGUGUAUAUGCUGGGUGAGCUUCAAGCUAUGGUGCAAUAUUAUUUUUAGCCUACCACGAGCUGGAGAAUGACUAUAAUUAAUCUAAUAUCAAAAAUCAAAUUAUGAUUUUAGUAAUAUGGAUGGGGCAUGGCCGGUGUUUGGAUUGGUUGGCUAUGCAAGAAACAUAAGGUAUGUGCUGGAUUAGCCUCGGACUGGAGUGUAGCAUUGUAUUUGGCCUAUCAUAGGCUAGAGCAUAGUUAUAAUUAGUCAAAUACUAGAAAGAUAAAUAUUAAUUUACAUAAUUGUAAGUAUGGGAAAAAGAAAGCAAGUGAACUGGUUGGUCAAGUAUGAAAUAUGGUGUAUCAACCGCAGGCUGAGAUAUUUGACCUACCACGGACUAGAGCAUGAUUGUAACUAGUCUAAUGCUAACGUCAAAUCAUAAUGAUGAAUCAUAUCUAAUUGAAUGGUAUCUAGACUAGCCGAUAUAUAUGAAACAUGAUAUUUGUAAUGUCAGCCGCGAGCUAAGAUGUGGUUGCUAGCCAUGAGUGAAAAUGUGAUGUCUAUUUGGCCUGCCAUGGACUGAAAUAUAAGCAUGUCUAGUCUAAUACUAGAGUGAUAAUGUGGUCAUUAUUCAAACUAUAUUAAUCAAAUAAUGAAAAAUAAUUUCACUGAAAUAUUGUUGAAUCAAAUGUUUGCUUAGAUGAUAUAUAAGUGACAUAUAUCUUGAGAUUUCUGUAUGGUGAUAUGUAUGCAACUUAGUAGCUAUAAGAUUAGACUUGAUAUGCAUGCUGGCAUGGCUUAUGUAUAUGUAUUUUAUAGCAUACAUAUUGUUAUAUAGAGCAUUAUUCAAAUUAUUGAUAUAUGAAUUUUACUAUUUUCUUAUCGACUAAUAUUAUCGCAAAGGUAUUUCAUAUUCAUUCUGGUAUGAGUGUGGGGAUUCUUACUGGACUAUAAAUCUCAUAUCUUCUUUUUUCUUUAGAGUUGUAGGAUGCACCGAUCAUAUUGGGCAUGGAGUUUCAAAUGAUGGAAUUAUUAAUUAGUUAGUUAGUUGAUUUUCUAAUAUCAAAUAAAUGUUUCGAUCUUGUGAACCUUAUUCAAUAAAGAUGGAUUGAUUUGAUUUGAUAAAUAUGAUUGAAUUUUUAAAAUUCUUUCGGUAUUCUUAUGAAUUUAUUUUUUAUUUAGGCCUUGCAUGAUCUCUAUGCUAUCGGAUUCAUGUGGCCGUAUCACAUGGUCGACCUAGAUGGUGGGUUCAGUGUGUGAUAAUUAGUGUUUUGCUUUCGACAAUCAUAAAAUUGUGAACAAUGAAAGGAAAAGUUUUAAGUUAGAGAUGCCUAACAUGCUUAAGUGAUCCAAGCCAAUCUGCACCAUUGGGCUGGCCCAUAUUUCCUAGGUAAUCAACCACAAUCUAAAGCAAGCAAAAAGAUAUAAUGGAAUGAGUGUUGAUCCCAAAGAAUGAUUUUGAUGAUCAUAAAAUAUUAGAGCAUGAAAUUCGAACUAAUAUCUCAAAGUGUUCUAAGAAUGUUUUUAUAGGAAAAUAACACCUAAAGAAGUCCUUAGAUUCAAUUAGGAGAAGUUUGAACAAAGAAAAUUCUGUUUGAAGUUGAAUUUCAAAAAAAAAACUAAGUUCAGAUAAAAAUGAGUUGACUCAUUGAAUUAAGGAGUCGACUCUAGCAUGCCUUAGCACCAGUACAUUAUUUUGGCAUGCAAGCAAGUCGACUUAUUUAUAAAUUAAGUUGACUCUUUCAAAAGGAUAUAAUGCAGUUUUCUGAAACAGACAGCUAGGUCGACUCAUGGAACAUGUGAGUCGACCCAUGGAAAAAAAUUGAGCCAACUCAAAAUAGGAGAGCUGGCUCUCUCGUAGGGUGAAACAUAAGAUAAAUUUUGUAGAGUUGCAGGUGAGUUGACUCAAUGACUGAGAGUCGACUCAUUUACCAAUCCAAGUCAACUCAUGAGCCUUUGAGUCGACUUCUAUAGAUCUGACAAUUCAAAUGACUAGUUCUACAGCAGGGUCUGUUUUAUCCAAUUUUUUUUCAAUGACUAGAUUUCGCCUCCAACAAUCACAAAUGACUAGAAAUGGCUUCAAAGUACAUCAAACUUAAAGGGAAUCAAUAUUAGAUAUAAGAGAAACAAAGGAAUCAAAUGAAGA